CGGGGUGCAGCAGGCGCGAAAACUCUACAAUGCAGGCAACUGCGAUAGGGGAACAUCGAGUGAUCCUCAUAUUGGGGGUCUGUCCCACCGUCUAAAAAACGGUGGUUAGCAAGGGCCGGGCAAGACCGGUGCCAGCCGCCGCGGUAAUACCGGCGGCUCGAGUGGUGGCCGAUAUUAUUGAGUCUAAAGGGUCCGUAGCCGGCUUUGCAAGUCUCUCGGGAAAUCCAGCGGCUUAACCGUUGGUCGUCCGGGGGGUACUACAUUGCUUGGGACUGGGAGAGGUAGGAGGUACUCAGGGGGUAGGAGUGAAAUCCUGUAAUCCUCUGGGGACCACCGGUGGCGAAGGCGUCCUACCAGAACAGGUCCGACGGUGAGGGACGAAAGCUAGGGGCACGAACCGGAUUAGAUACCCGGGUAGUCCUAGCCGUAAACGAUGCUCGCUAGGUGUCACAACAGUCGUGAACUGUUGUGGUGCCGUAGGGAAGCCGUGAAGCGAGCCACUUGGGAAGUACGACCGCAAGGUUGAAACUUAAAGGAAUUGG
rnacentral:rRNA from 1 species